UUUUUGUAAAUAAUAUAUAAGUUAAUCUCGUAUUUAAAUUAGAUUACGAUAAUAUAAAAAUAUAUUCUAUUGAUAUUAUUAAUAUAAAACAUGAUUAAAAGUUUGUAUCUAGCAGGAUUUCUGUAUACUCUAACCCUUAUUUUCAACUUCCUAAUUCAUGGAUCCAAAGAAUGUCCCCUAUUUGAUUCAAGAAACCCUAAAAUGAAUGCUCAAAUACGUUAUGUAAAUGAACAUGGUCGAGCUAUCUUCUGCCAUGACUUUUGCACCUCAGAUGAAUAUCUCUGCUGUUAUUGCUAACCCCUAACAGCUAACUCUACAGAUAAUAGCUUAUUUUAUUAUACAAGACUUAUAAUAUUUAUUAUGCGAAAAUAAAGUUGGGGAUUUAUCAAGACAAGGAAAUCCUGAAAUUGGCAUAUUACCUUAUCUCAUUGCUUGAUAUUAAUGACUAAAAUUUCAAGGUAAUACAAGUAUUCAAUGAUUAUUUUUUUUUCUCCAUGAUUUUUAACAAGAUUAUCCCAAUAUGAUUUAAAAAGUAAACCAGAACAAAAAAUAGAAAAAUAAAGCGUGCGUAUUGAAGGUCUGCAAUGCUCCUCAGCAUGUGCCGGGUUGGGCAAACAGAGUAACUAACUAGGCCUAUUAAAAACAAUAAUUGACUGGAUUAUUGAUAAUUUCCGAUAUUUGAUAGAAGUGGUAAUCCAUGUUUUAUUAAUUUUAACCCCUUUCUCAAUAUUAUAAAUAGUUGUUUAUUUCGGUGUUUAACUAUAUAUUUCGGGUGGGGCCUUGUAUUUACUAAAAUUGUACCGAGUUUGGGAACCAUAGUACAAAAUUAGAAAUGGUCAGGACCGGGGCAUGUAAAAAUUUGGCCUGGCCGGGCAUAAGCUAAGUUAAAACUGGGCUUAACCUGAAAAUUUUGCCAUUUGUAUAUAUCUGGUAUGCAAUGUUAGCGUCUGAAAUAUAUAUAUUCUAAUUUUUAAUAGGCUAUACACUUAAAUGAUAUCUGCGGAUUUUCAUUUCUUAAAAAAAAACCGAAUUAUUUUGGUUGAAGGUGCCAAAGGUCAUACAAAAUAUUAAUUAAAAAAAAAUAUUAUUUUAACUGUGUUUUUAUAUAAAAAAAAUUUAUUUGAAUA